rnacentral:rRNA from 1 species
UACGGGAGGCAGCAGCGGGGAAUAUUGCACAAUGGGCGCAAGCCUGAUGCAGCCAUGCCGCGUGUAUGAAGAAGGCCUUCGGGUUGUAAAGUACUUUCAGUCGUGAGGAAGGUGUUAAGGUUAAUAACCUUAGCAAUUGACGUUAGCGACAGAAGAAGCACCGGCUAACUCCGUGCCAGCAGCCGCGGUAAUACGGAGGGUGCGAGCGUUAAUCGGAAUUACUGGGCGUAAAGGGCACGCAGGCGGUUAAUUAAGUUGGAUGUGAAAUCCCCGGGCUUAACCUGGGAAUGGCAUUCAAGACUGGUUAGCUAGAGUCUUGUAGAGGGGGUAGAAUUCCAUGUGUAGCGGUGAAAUGCGUAGAGAUGUGGAGGAAUACCGGUGGCGAAGGCGGCCCCUGGACAAAGACUGACGCUCAUGUGCGAAAGCGUGGGGAGCAAAC